rnacentral:rRNA from 1 species
UAGUCAUAUGCUUGUCUCAAAGAUUAAGCCAUGCAUGUCUAGUAUAGCAUUAUACCGUGAAACUGCGAAUGGCUCAUUAAAUCAGUUAUCGUUUAUUUGAUAGUACCUUACUACUUGGAUAACCGUGGUAAUUCUAGAGCUAAUACAUGCUAAAAACCCCAACUUCGGGAGGGGUGUAUUUAUUAGAUAAAAAACCAAUGCCCUUCGGGGCUCCUUGGUGAUUCAUGAUAACUUCUCAGAUCGCAUGGCUUUACGCCGGCGACGGUUCAUUCAAAUUUCUGCCCUAUCAACUUUCGAUGGUAAGGUAUUGGCUUACCAUGGUUCAACGGGUAACGGGGAAUGGGGCGGGGGCGGCGGGCCGGGCGCGGGGCGCGGCGGGCG